AUGUUAUUUUUAGUUUUUUACGUUUCGUGACACAUUAUAUACAUUAUAGUAUGUUUCCAGAAUAGUAGCUUACUGCAGUCAUGACCUAAUGGUUAGAGAGUUGGAUUUAGAACCUAAAGGUUGUGGGUUUGAGUCUCUGUGCUGGCAGGAAUGGUCAUGGGGGGAGGGAGUGAAUAACCAGCACUCUCUUUCACCCCAAGACUGAGGUGAGACCCUUGAGCAACCAAAGCUGAAACGAUUCCCGGGAACCACAGCAGUAUGGCUGCCCACAGUGUGUUUGUGCAGAUCCAGAAUAUGGGUCUGUACAGACUAUUUCCCAGCACUAUUUUGAUCCCCCCACCUGUCAGACCACAGUUGCGCCCCUGCUAAAUGCUUGGUAUGGUGUGAUUCCAAAUUUAGCAGGGCCAGGUGGGGACAAGCUUGUUUACACAAGGAUAUCAGGGUCUGAACGCAGUCAUUUCCACACACAUCCAUCCACCAGGCCCAUUCAACUUAUUUUUAUCUUAAGCGAGUGCACCCAUUUGUAGCAACUGAAUGUGCGAACCAAGGCAUUUUUAGUCAGCUGAAAACACCAGGCGCUGUUCUGCAAAAGCCUAACGUUAGCUGUGAACGCCUGCAAACGAUAAGGAGGGGUUUUUCUGUCUGAUAACAGUGAGCAGUCUGUAUCUGUCUUGACCAUCUUGAUGUCUUAUGUUCUGGACUCCAGCAAAUAAAAAAAAAUAAAAAAAAUAAUAAAAUAAAAAACCGUCUGCUCUGCGACUCUAGUUCCCACCCACUGAAACCGAGCCCGGGCUGGAUCCGUGUUACACCACUGAAAUGGACUGUAACGUGGAUUUGCCGGUUUGAAAACAGAUCCUGCUCGGAGUCAUCUGUUAUCCUCAAAAACCUCACCAAGACUUUCUCAAUCACACCGGAAGCACCUCAUUGGUCUUUUUUCUUGACAAAGGCGUCAACAUCAAUGCCAGCUGAGCAAUCCUGGUCCCGACUAAUUCUUCGUCUCACAUUGGAACCCAGCCUUGGACAGGGUUCGAAGACUGCUAUGACUAGAUGACAGAGCCAGGAAGUUCAGAG
rnacentral:lncRNA from 1 species